UGAGGAAUAUUGCGCAAUGGGCGAAAGCCUGACGCAGCGACGCCGCGUGGAGGAUGAAGGCCUUAGGGUCGUAAACUCCUGUUAAGCGGGAAGAAAGCUUUAUUUGUAAUAUAUAUAAAGUAUGACGGUACCGUUAGAGAAAGCACCGGCUAACUUCGUGCCAGCAGCCGCGGUAAUACGAGGGGUGCUAGCGUUAUUCGGAAUUACUGGGCGUAAAGGGUGUGUAGACGGUGUACUAAGUCUGUUGUUAAAUCCUCCGGCCUAACUGGAGAAUCGCGAUGGAAACUAGUAUGCUAGAGGGUGAGAGAGAGAAGUGGAAUUCUCGGAGUAGCGGUAAAAUGCGUAGAUAUCGAGAGGAACACCAAUGGCGAAGGCAGCUUCUUGGCUCAUUUCUGACGUUGAAACACGAAAGCGUGGGGAGCAAACAGGAUUAGAUACCCCCGUAGUCC
rnacentral:rRNA from 1 species